rnacentral:misc_RNA from 1 species
CAGGCCAAAAUAAUUUACAAUUUUGGUUUAUAACUGCUCAAGACCAAGUAUAAUAUAUACAUACAGUGCGCAUACAUUACAACAAAAAUUACAGGAAAUGGUAUACUCAAUAUCCCGGUGGAAUCCCAAAAUGUAGCACAAACAGCCUACUCUGCUGCUCUGUCUGUCUGUCUACCUCUGAAGAGUAACCUCUUGGCCCUGACUCAGUAGUUUCUUCUCCUUCUCUGAGUCUUUGCUAACUUGCUUAGUCUGAAUUGAUACUGAACCCUUGCCUUGAGAUUCUAUAACUUCUCCAUUGCCAAGCUUGACUUUGAUUCUCACUGAUCUAUCAAUUGAAGAGAACAUGCUUUCAUCUCUUGCCAUAUGAUUGGUGCAGCCACUAUCCACAAACCAUGUAUGUCUUCCACUAGUGUUUGUAGUGUGAGUAACAACAUAGACAUGAUCAUCAUAUUGAGCUUGAUCAUCAGUGUAAUUUGUUUAUUAAGUAGGUUGUUGUUGUUGAUUCUGAUUCAGCUUGCUUUGUUUAAUUCUACAAUUUUUCUCCUUAUGUCCCAACCUUUUGCAGUAGUUACAUUGAGGUGGCUUAACUCCAUUCUUCUACCAACAAUCUUAUUCAAGAUGAUUGGUUUUGUUGCAAGUAGGACAAGGUAGGAAUUUUGAUUUCUUGCCACCCCUUUUUCUAUUUACAGGUCCCUUGCCUUUGUUUGUUGAAUCACUUACACUCUUCUUAGCUUCCUCAAAUUGCUUACCCUUUUGUUUGGCAAGAAAAGCUUCUUCAGUGGACUCCCCCAUUCUAAUAAUCCUUCUUUGCUCAAAAGCUUGAAGAGCAUUCACCAAUUCUGAAAUAGAAAUGGUUUUCAAGUCUUUGGAGUCUUCCAAAGAGGAAAUUUUAGGCUCAAAUCUUUCAAGUAAACUCACUAAAACCUUUUGCACAACUCUCUUGUCACUAAGCUCCUCUCCCAACAAUCUAAUUUUAUUUACAACUUUCAUGAGCCUAUCAGAAUACCCUUGAAUAGAUUCAAUAUCCUUCAUCCUCAAAACUUCAAAUUCCCUUCUUAGAUUGAGAACUUGCAUCAUUUUAGUCUUCUCACACCUUUGAUACUCUUCUUUCAACUUAUCCCAAACUUCUUUAGCUGAUCCACAAGCCAAGAUCUUAGUAAAAAUGACAUCUGAUACAGCAAAGUGUAUACAAAAGGGAGCCUUGAACUUCUUUGCACGCUCUUCACUAUGUUGCUUGAUUUGAGCAAGGGUGGGAUUGUCACUCAAAGGAGCUGGAUCUUUGCCUAUUUCUACGACAUCCCAUAGAUCAUAGACUUUAAGAUAAGCCUGCAUCUUCACUGACAAAUUGGGAUAAUUUUCUCCUGAGAAGACAAGUGGAGGAGGAGCUGAGUAACUACUUGAAGCCAUAAAUUUACUCACAAGUGUUUUAAGGUGUUUGAG